rnacentral:rRNA from 1 species
GAUGAACGCUGGCGGCGUGCCUAAUACAUGCAAGUCGAACGAACAGACGAGGAGCUUGCUCCUCUGACGUUAGCGGCGGACGGGUGAGUAACACGUGGAUAACCUACCUAUAAGACUGGGAUAACUUCGGGAAACCGGAGCUAAUACCGGAUAAUAUAUUGAACCGCAUGGUUCAAUAGUGAAAGACGGUUUUGCUGUCACUUAUAGAAGGAUCCGCGCCGCAUUAGCUAGUUGGUAAGGUAACGGCUUACCAAGGCGACGAUGCGUAGCCGACCUGAGAGGGUGAUCGGCCACACUGGAACUGAGACACGGUCCAGACUCCUACGGGAGGCAGCAGUAGGGAAUCUUCCGCAAUGGGCGAAAGCCUGACGGAGCAACGCCGCGUGAGUGAUGAAGGUCUUCGGAUCGUAAAACUCUGUUAUUAGGGAAGAACAAAUGUGUAAGUAACUAUGCACGUCUUGACGGUACCUAAUCAGAAAGCCACGGCUAACUACGUG